GGAACUGUGCCUGAAAAAGGAUCACUUUGAUAGAGUGACUUAUGUGGGUUAAAAUCCCCCCAACUCCU
rnacentral:tRNA from 1 species